GGUCUGAGUGCAGUGGUGUUUACAAGUAAUUGAUCACAACCAAUUAUAGAUUUCUUUGUUCCUUCCCCAUUUCCACUGCUUUACUUGAGUUGCCUUAA
ensembl:misc_RNA Y_RNA Y RNA